ACUAAAGUGGCAGAUUAAUGCGUGAAAUUUAAGCUUUCUUUAAGGAAUUCCCUUUAGUU
rnacentral:tRNA from 1 species